rnacentral:lncRNA from 1 species
CAAAUAUUGAAAGCCUGGAGUUUCCGUUUCACACACAGCGAGGGAGGGAUGAGAGCAGUGAGAGAGCAGGCAGACAGAGCGGUGGAAGAGAGGGAAAAGCUAAAAUAAAUAAAUAAAUAAAUAAAAAAGACCAAGUGGGAUUAAGAGGAAAAACCCAGCAGUCACCCUGGGAGGGACACAUGUGAGGUGGGAUGGAGGGAGAGAUUGAGGAAAAGGGCCAGAGCAUCGAAAGUGGGAUAACUUUUACUCAGGCCGAAACAGUGACUCAGAGUUGUGGCAAAGACAGUGAUGAGUCACAAAGCCUCCAGGAACCAGAGGAGGAAGACCAGGCUGACGGAGGACACUAUGAUGGAGAUGGAGAGCCCAGCCAGGGUGCAGACGAUCAGUGCAGCGGUGCAGAAGCGUUACCAGACAGCACUCUGGUAGCCACAGACACCCAGGACGAUACUGGGUGCCUCCCAUCAUCCUCCCUACAGACAGAAGAAGAGUUGUCCCCCACUCCUGUGUUAUCUUAUCCCUCUAACACACACAAUCGCCCACCUGAACCCUGCUGGUACUGCUUGAGGUCUCUUGACUCAGAGUAUCGCCCUGAAACUACAAAACAGCAGGACGACUCUGAUCAUUUGUCACCGCUGCCCUCUAGUGGUCAAAAAGUGAGCUACCAAACAGACCCUCGGCCACACUUUGGUGUAGCUUGGUCGUCCCACUCGCCGUGUCACCCACUGUGGGGAAGCGAGGGGCCCUGCUGGGGUCAGAGAAACCAGGAAGUGCACUAUCAGACACACACCUGUCCACACUGCCAUCUGGGCUUGCCCCCUGACACACUACGCUGGCACGAGGUUUGGCUCAGACACAGCUAAGCACACAUAGACAUAAAUAGAUCAUCACUAAAGAUACCACAGUUUAUGGCACUCUGCUUUCUUUCUGUCUGCACAGGCAAAGUGUCUGCUGUUUGAAGAUCUGAGGAAGUCAAACAAAUAGAUGAAGAAAAUGUUCUUUUUUGUUAAUAAAAAUAGUGUCUGCUGUUUAAAUUAGAAUAUUCUCAGGAAGCUUUUAGUGUUUUAGUGUUGUGCAGUAUCUGCUUGUGCUAGUAAAUAUCUAUCUAUUUACACUUAAGCUUUGUCAUCACUAUUCCUCACUUAUUAUUGUAUUAUAUAUUAUUAUUUUUACUCAAUGUUGAAUUUCUGUGACGUUCAUUGAGCAAGGUGAAGUCAUUCGCUUCAUUUUCCUGGUCUACAUCCCUAUGUUAAAAUUAAGAUUGUUUAGAUCUUUUACAUUUAUUUUUUCAAUAAAUAAUGUUAGAAAUAGACUAAAGAAUGCACAAUGAUGCACUCACAUUCUCAUUUUAUUUUAACGAAAAUUUUUAACUUAGAUCUUUAGGCAAAACAUUCUUGGAUAGUCAUCUGGGGUAUUAUCAUACAUAUGUCUUGUCUGUUGGAUACACUGGCAAUAAAUUCACCAUUAGCACAG